UACAGAGGUCUCAAGCGUUGUUCGGAUUCAUUGGGCGUAAAGGGCGCGUAGGCGGCGGGGUAAGUCGGGUGUGAAAUCUCAGAGCUCAACUCUGAAACUGCACUCGAUACUGCUCUGCUUGAGGACUGGAGAGGAGACUGGAAUUCACGGUGUAGCAGUGAAAAUGCGUAGAUAUCGUUGAGGAAGACCAGUGGCGAAAGCGGCUUCCUGGGACC
rnacentral:rRNA from 1 species